rnacentral:rRNA from 1 species
UAGGCUGAAACUACGCCUACAUGAAGCUGGAAUUGCUAGUAAUCACAGGUCAGCAUACUGUGGUGAAUACGUUCCCGGGCCUUGUACACACCGCCCGUCACACCAUGAGAGUUGAGAAUACCCGAAGCCCAUGUCAAAGUGGUCGAAGGUAGGCUUGAUGAUUGGGGUGAAGUCGUAACAAGGUAAC